UUUUUGUCCGACAUCUUAGCAAGCCUGCGGUGUCUGCUGCUGCUCCCCGAGCUUCGCAAUGCCGCCCAAGGACGACAAGAAGAAGAAGGACGCCGGAAAGUCGGCCAAGAAAGACAAAGACCCAGUGAACAAAUCUGGGGGCAAGGCCAAAAAGAAGAAGUGGUCCAAAGGCAAAGUUCGGGACAAGCUCAAUAACUUAGUCUUGUUUGACAAAGCUACCUACGACAAACUCUGUAAGGAAGUUCCCAACUAUAAACUUAUAACCCCAGCUGUAGUCUCUGAGAGACUGAAGAUUCGAGGCUCCCUGGCCAGGGCAGCCCUUCAGGAGCUCCUUAGUAAAGGACUUAUCAAACUGGUUUCAAAGCACAGAGCUCAAGUAAUUUACACCAGAAAUACCAAGGGCGGAGAUGCUUCAGCUGCUGGUGAAGAUGCAUGAAUAGGUCCAACCAAUUGUACAUUUGGAAAAAUAAAACUUUAUUAAAUCAAAAAAAAAAAAA